rnacentral:snoRNA from 1 species
AUUCGGGUUGAUAACUAGGCGGUGGUUUAAGUUUGCUCAACAACCUUUGCCCUUUAAGUACCCGAGAGAUUGAGAUCUCGGCGGUCGAUCUUACACAUUUGCUUUCUUUCUCUCUGUGUUGGUUACAUGUUUAUUCGAUCGCAACAUAC